rnacentral:rRNA from 1 species
UACGGGAAGGCAGCAGUGGGGAAUAUUGGACAAUGGGCGAAAGCCUGAUCCAGCCAUGCCGCAUGAGUGAAGAAGGCCUUCGGGUUGUAAAGCUCUUUUAGUGAGAAAGAUAAUGACGGUACUCACAGAAGAAGUCCUGGCUAACUCCGUGCCAGCAGCCGCGGUAAUACGGAGAGGGCUAGCGUUAUUCGGAAUUAUUGGGCGUAAAGAGCGCGUAGGCUGAUUAGUAAGUUAAAAGUGAAAUCCCAAAGCUUAACUUUGGAAUUGCUUUUUAAAACUGCUAGUCUAGAGAUUUGAAAGAGGAUAGAGGAAUUCCUAGUGUAGAGGUGAAAUUCGUAAAUAUUAGGAGGAACACCAGUGGCGAAGGCGUCUAUCUGGUUCAAAUCUGACGCUGAGGCGCGAAGGGCGUGGGGAGCAAACAGGGAUUAGAUACC